rnacentral:rRNA from 1 species
UACGGAGGGUGCGACCGUUAAUCGGAAUCACUGGGCGUAAAGCGCGCGCAGGCGGUCUUCCAAGUCAGUGGUGAAAGCCCGGAGCUCAACUCCGGAACUGCCAUUGAAACUGUUAGACUUGAGGACGAGAGAGGUGAGUGGAAUUCCCAGUGUAGAGGUGAAAUUCGUAGAUAUUCGCAAGAACACCAGUGGCGAAGGCGGCUCACUGGCCCGGUACUGACGCUGAGGCACGAAAGCGUGGGGAGCAAACAGG